GGCCACCUGGCGAAAUGGCAUCGCGUCUGACUACGAACAAGUCCCCGAGGGCUGGUAUUGAUCAGGAGAUUGCAGGUUCGACCCCUACGGUGGUCA